rnacentral:rRNA from 1 species
CCUACGGGCGACUGCAGUGGGGAAUAUUGCGCAAUGGGCGAAAGCCUGACGCAGCGACGCCGCGUGAGGGAUGAAGGUCUUCGGAUCGUAAACCUCUGUCAGCAGGGAAGAACGGUCACUGUGCUAAUCAGCAGUGAAUUGACGGUACCUGCAAAGGAAGCACCGGCUAACUCCGUGCCAGCAGCCGCUGUAAUACGGAGGGUGCGAGCGUUAAUCGGAAUUACUGGGGGUAAAGCGAUCGUAGUCGGUAUGUCAAGUCAAGGGUGAAAUCCCCGGGCUCAACGUGUGAACUGCCUUUGAAACUGGCAAACUGGAGUGUGUGAGAGGAUAGUGGAAUUCAAGGGGUAGGAGUGAAAUCCGUAGUUAUCUGGAGGAACAUCAGUGGCGAAGGCGACUAUCUGGCACAUAACUGACGCUGAGGAGCGAAAGCGUGGGUAGCAAACAGGAUUAGAUACCCUUGUAGUC